CCCCUACGGGAGGUAGCAGUGGGGAAUUUUGGACAAUGGGCGCAAGCCUGAUCCAGCUAUUCCGCGUGUGGGAUGACGGCCUUCGGGUUGUAAACCACUUUUGUAGAGAGCGAAAAGUCUGUUGAUAAUACCGAUAGAUGAUGACGGUACUCUAAGAAUAAGCACCGGCUAACUACGUGCCAGCAGCCGCGGUAAUACGUAGGGUGCGAGCGUUAAUCGGAAUUACUGGGCGUAAAGGGUGUGCAGGCGGUUUUGCAAGAUGGAUGUGAAAGCCCCCGGCUUUACCUUGGAAAGCCAUA
rnacentral:rRNA from 1 species